rnacentral:lncRNA from 1 species
GUUUAAGCAAAGCAAAGUGAAGAAUCUACAAAACAGGAGCCUCUGGCCCAGGGUGAAUGAAGGGUUUCAGCAGAGUCCCCAGCUCUCAUCUCUCCCCUACGUGUGGGAAAUCCCCAGGACUGCUUGAUCACGCUGACCAUUCCUGGAUUCUCUCCACUCAAAGUUGGUGUUCUGCAAACCUUCAGAGCGUGGCGAGAAAGUUUUCCCUUGGCCCCUGCAGUUUUGGCACUGUGAGCAGGACAACCAAAUCCACUCUGCUUUUCUGGAAGCUGCAGUCAAGGGAACCCAGGAC